ACUACGGGAGGCAGCAGUGGGGAAUAUUGGGCAAUGGGCGCAAGCCUGACCCAGCAACGCCGCGUGAAGGAAGAAGGCUUUCGGGUUGUAAACUUCUUUUUAGAUGGAAGUGAAGAAGACGGUACCUCUUGAAUAAUCCACGGCUAACUAAGUGCCAGCAGCCGCGGUAAUACGGAGGUGGCAAGCGUUGUCCGGAUUUACUGGGUGUAAAGGGAGUGUAGGCGGGCUGACAAGUCAGAUGUGAAAUUUCGGGGCUCAACCCUGGAACUGCAUUUGAAACUGUUUGUCUUGAGUAUCGGAGAGGCGGGCGGAAUUCCUGGUGUAGCGGUGAAAUGCGUAGAUAUUAGGAGGAACACCAGUGGCGAAGGCGGCCUGCUGGACGACAACUGACGGUGAGGCGCGAAAGCGUGGGGAGCAAACAGGAUUAGAUACCCGAGUAGUC
rnacentral:rRNA from 1 species